AAGGAUCAUUAUCGAGUUCUGACUGGGUUGUAGCUGGCCUUCCGAGGCAUGUGCACGCCCUGCUCAUCCACUCUACACCUGUGCACUUACUGUGGGUUUACGGGUCGUGAAACGGGCUCGUUUAUUCGGGCUUGUUGAGCGCACUUGUUUCCUGCGUUUAUCACAAACUCUAUAAAGUAUCAGAAUGUGUAUUGCGAUGUAACGCAUCUAU
rnacentral:misc_RNA from 1 species